ensembl:lncRNA
UGUGUGUGUGUGUGUGUGUGUCGCCCCUGUCACAUCAGUGCAAAAGCACCCCGGUGAAAGCAGUGCUUCUCAAAGAUGCAGUGUGACCUCUGCCAAAUGACCUCUGCCGGGCGGACGGGCCUGUUGAGCACACUGCAGACUGCAGACGUGUGGAGGAGCUCGGAGUGAAGUGAUGAUGCUACUGCUCUGUUGCUGGGAUACUAAGCUGCUGUUCAGAUGCACAGACUGGGCUCAGAGGGUUGGUGGUUUGGCUGGGAACUUUGAGUCUCUCUCUCUCUCUCUCUCUCUCUCUCUCUCUCUCUCUGUCUCUCUCUCUUUCUCUUUCUCUCUCUUUCUCUUUCUCCUUCUCUCUCUCUCCUUCUCUCUCUCUUUCUCCUCCUCUUCUUCUCUCCUCUCUCUCUCUCUUUCUCUCGUCCCCUGAAUUGAUUUAGAAAUGUAGCGUUAUGAUUUUUUCUAAAGCGUGACACUACUCAUUUCUAAGAGCCAAAUUUGAGUGACAUUCACUCAUGUAAUCUCUUCCCUUUUUUUGGUUUGUUUGUUUGUUUGUUUUUAAUAUAGUUUAGCUUCCUUCAUCAACAACUGUUGUGAUUUCUUGACUUUGCUUUGCUUGGCUUGGCUUGAGGUUCCGUGGAGACGGAACAUGCCUCUCUGGAACCGACCCAGAGUGAGCAUCCGUAGCCGGGCUGGAGCACAGACCAGCGGACGUGGGCACGCGUCAGCUGGCUGUGUUCCAGUGUAUUGCUCUUUUCAAACAUGGUCAGCUAUUGUAUUCUUUUUGAUCUGCAGUAAAUCUUUUCUGAAUUCCUGUUGCGGGGUGUCCCAGUGCAGUGUUGGAGAGAGAGUGUGUGUGUGUGUGUGUGUGUGGCUUAGAGCAUGGUGCUGUUCACUGGAGCAGGCCCUGGGCUUUGACUGACACCACUGCUAUCACACAAGUGAAGCAUGGAGCUUACCUGACCUCUGACUAAAGCGGAAGUGGAACUUCUCGCGUGGCGUGGCCGUUGGGAGGGACUUGCGCAGCCUCCGUGGUGAACACCCGACAAGAGCGUGUUUCCGAGUGUAGCACCUACUAGAACCUUAGGCUGGUCCCCUGCACCCACUCUGGCACCCUUCCACUCCCAGUGCUGGUGCUCAGGAUGGGUGGAGAGGGGGCGUGUGGGGGGCCAAUGGGUGCAAGGCUGUGGAACCAUGGAAAUUGAACUGUAGCUAUUGUUGUGAAACGUUCCGUCAUAAGAUUCUGUGCCUGAAAGUGCCCUUCAUGGGUGCAAGGGUGCGGGGAUGAGGGUGAAGGGACCAUGUCAGUACGAGGGUCCAGUCUGGCCCGCACGGGGGGUCAAGUCUGGCCCGCACGGGGGUCAAGUCUGCCCUGCACGGUGUGAUCUGGUCUCCCUUAAGAGCAGGUCCUGCACACCAGUGUGUGUCUGCUGUCCUGGUGUCACUGUCCGCUACUCUGAGCACACCAAUUCCAACAGCGUUUUAAAGUAACUAACAUCAAAACUUAAUUUAAUGCAUCAAAAACAGACACAUUGAAGUCUUGUUAUCAAUUAAAACAAAUGUUAAUUUUCUGCUGAGGGGAAGGGGGUAAAUGUGGACAAUUAGACUAGGCUAGCUUUUACGUAUUACUAAGUAAAAAAAAUUCAAUUUAACAAAUAGCUGGAGUAAGGCUAAAUGAAAUCCCAUGGCUCCGACCUCAAGGUGAUCUUCCAGAUGUGUAUGUGGGGUGAAACAUUGACUCGUCUAUUAAAUAGAUGAACUACAACAGCUGGAACUUUGAACUAAAAUGAUGUGUUGUACUUAUUACUAUUGUCUCUCAUUGCAUCAGAUAACUGGCAGAUGUGACCUUAGUGAUGCAGUUCCAUGUUUGGACACUUUUGUUUUUGUUUGGUUUAUCCCAAUGUCCUGCCAGUGAAAUACUGGGGGAGUUAUAUAGGGUUUUAUGAAGAUGUGCAAUUGUUCGUCGGCUGUGUCCCAUUGUCACAGCCAGGUGGCGCUCUAGCCAACAUGAGGCUUCUCCAAGCUCUGUGUGUGUGUGUUGGAUCAUGUCCCGUAGUUCAUGAAUAUUGCGAUUUAAAAAAAAAAAAAAAACAUUCACAGUAACAAAAAGCAGCUACAUCCAUCUGAUUAAGACAUCCAAAAAACUUUUAAUACUUUUCUACAUAUAUCUUUUCUUUAUGCUAUUAAAUUGUUUGAUUUCUUAUAUACAUAGUGUACAAAUGUGGAGGAAAUUAGUUGUCUGUUUUGGAGAAAACAUUAAAGUGCAAAAUGGUGCAAAUGUUUACCUGACUUGUGUGUACUGUACCGAUUCCAGUUAGUAUUGGGAAGUCCAGUGAAGGGUUAUGGAAACACUGGCAAUGUAACAUUACUGACUAAAGCAAGAUCUGG